UGUAGUGGUUAUAAAACUUUAUUUCUUGUUAUACUCAUGAUACACUCAUAAAUCACAGCUUAUAAUGAUUCGGGUGGGAUACAAAAACAAAAACCUUUAGGACAGAUUUGUUUGUUUUCAUUUUUACAACAAAAUCCAUUUUUAGAUGGACAAUCCCUCACACAAUCAGAAUCUUGGGUGCAACGAAUUGGUAACCCUCCAGUGUAGGCUUCAGCACUUGGUAACUCAAAGAUUGUGGUGCCUUGCAAAUUGAGAUCAAUAAUUCAUGAUUAUAGAGAAAUGAAAUAAAAAGCGAAAUGUGUUAGUAAUUAGCAAAAAAAUAUACAAAGAGAGAGAGAUAUUUGGGACAUUGACUAACCAUAUGCAGCGAUCAUGAGAACGACCAAGAAAGUUAGUUUAAACGAGACUUUCUCCAUUUGCUGUAAGAAAAAGAUUAUGCAGGAUGUUUCUUUGAGUGGGAAAAAAAAAUCUAAAAAAAUUGUAUGCAAGAACUUUGUUCUUC
rnacentral:lncRNA from 1 species